UUAGCCUUUCUUGAUGCUUUGUUGUUCUUUCAUGCUAUAGAUUGCUUUUCUGUUAUUUUAGUUGAUGACUUCAUGAUGAUUCUCUUGGCUCAUUUUAUAGGAAAGAGGCCUGAAGUAAACAACAUUUGGACAGCUUAAAAAAUGUCGAAUAGGGUAGUAAAACAGAACCAAUUCUGAACUGAAUAUUACAAAAUGGAAUACUUACAACUAUAACUAAUAAUUGAGGAUUAUAAACAACUGUUUUUAAAAACCUAAUUGAUGGUAUUCCAGUGAAGAGCUUGACCAUAUCUUGAUCCCAACAAGUUGACUGAGACACAAAUGGAAAAUCAGAUAUUGGUGGGACGUGGGUAAGAAUCCAUGGUUUUGAAUAGUGAUAUCAUUCUCUUGGAUUUUGCCCAGGAGUGUGUCUGAGUUUCCUGCAGCAUCAGGAGAGGGAGAGAGACAACAUGACUUCUACCAAGAUUCUGCUGCUCUUGCUGUCAACAGUUUUGCUGGCCUUGGGCUCUGCUCAGGGCCAUCGAUGACACCCUUCAAAAGGAAGAGGAUACACCCCAAUUAGUAGAUGAUGAACUAUUUGAAGAAAACUCAGAGGAAUCACAAGUAAAACCUCAAGAAGAAAAUGGAGAUCAGAAUGGCAAGCCAGGCAAAGAGGAAGACAAAGGCAAUGGACAAAAGCAGAGGCCUCAUCACCAGGGUGUCCAGGGAGUCCUUGGAAGCCUAUUUAGCAGAGGUGGCCCACAUCACCCUAGUGGCCAACAGGGCCCAGGAGGCCAACAGGGUUCAGGUGGUCAACAAGCCCAGGUGGUCAACAGGGCCCAGGUGGCCAACACUGUCCAGGUGGCCAACAGGGCCCAGGUAGCCAAGGUGGUCAAGGAAGACAAUAGGGUCCAGGUGGCCAACAGGGUCCAGGUGGCCAACAGGGCCCAGGUGGCCAAGGUGGUCAAGGAAGCCAACAGAGUCCAGAAGGCCAACAAGGUCCUGGUGGUCAACAUGGCCCAGGUAGCCUAGGUGGUCAAGGAAGCCAACAGGGUCCAGGUGGCCAACAGGGCUCAGGUGGCCAAAGAGACCAGCAGGGAAGAAAUGACUAGCAUGGUCAACAUGGUGGCCAGUGACUAGGAAAACCAACUAAAGAAGACCUCCUUCAAUUCUCUAGAAAUUGAGAGAGAUGAACUGGUGACCAUGGAGUUUUCAGUCAUGUCAAUGUGGCCUUUCCUUUCUCUGACUUCAAAUCAUCAAUAAAGUCAUUAGCA